ACACGACUACAUUAGGAUACCCGUGUAGUCCAGGGUGUAAACGCUGCAGACUUGGUGUUGGAGGCCCUUUGGGGGCAUUCAGUGCCGGAGAGAAGUUGUUAAGUCUGCUACUUGGGGAGUACGUCCGCAAGGAUGAAACUUAAAGGAAUUGGCGGGGGAGCACCGCAACGGGAGGAGCGUGCGGUUUAAUUGGAUUCAACACCGUAAAACUCACCAGGGAAGACUGUUACAUGAAGGCCGAGAUGAAGACUCUGCUAGAUUUUCAG
rnacentral:rRNA from 1 species